UAUUAAGUGGCCGAACUAUAGGCACUAGACUUUUAAUCUAGAUAAUGAUUUAAAUAAUCCUUAAUAU
rnacentral:tRNA from 1 species